rnacentral:rRNA from 1 species
GGUCAAGUUAUUAAGGGUGCAGGGCGGAUGCCUUGGCACUAGGAGCCGAUGAAGGACGUGAUAAGCUGCGAUAAGCUUCGGGGAGUUGCACGUAAACUUUGAUCCGAAGAUUUCCGAAUGAGGAAACUCACUUAGAGUAAUGUCUAAGUAUCAUUAAGUGAAUACAUAGCUUAAUGAGGGGAACUCAGGGAACUGAAACAUCUAAGUACCUGAAGGAAGAGAAAGAAAUUCGAUUCCGUAAGUAGCGGCGAGCGAACGCGGAUUAGCCCAAACCAAUAAAGUUUUCUUUAUUGGGGUUGCGGACAUAUCAUAACGAAGAGGUAUCGUAAUUGAAGAGGUUUGGAAAGACCCACCACAGAAGGUAAUAGUCCUGUAUGUUAAACGAGAAGACUUCAGAUAUGAUCCAGAGUACCACGGGACACGUGAAA